rfam:Ixodes scapularis strain Wikel colony gcontig_1108379565843, whole genome shotgun sequence.
UCCUGGUGAACUUAGUUGGUAAAGCGCUCCACUGGAAAUGGAGAGGUCCCUGGUUCGAUAGCAGGACCAGGCG